AUUGAACGCUGGCGGCAGGCCUAACACAUGCAAGUCGAACGAGUGGCGGACGGGUGAGUAAUGUCUGGGAAACUUCCUGAUGGACGGGGAUAACUACUGGAAACCGUAGCUAAUACCGCAUACCAUCAGAUGUGCCCAGAUGGGAUUAACUAGUUGGUUGGGUAAAGGCUUACCAAGGCGACGAUCCCUAGCUGGUCUGAGAGGAUGACCAGCCACACUGGAACUGAGACACGGUCCAGACUCCUACGGGAGGCAGCAGUGGGGAAUAUUGCACAAUGGGCGCAAGCCUGAUGCAGCCAUGCCGCGUGUAUGAAGAAGGCCUUCGGGUUGUAAAGUACUUUCAGCGGGGAGGCGUUACCGGCAGAAGAAGCACCGGCUAACUCCGUGCCAGCAGCCGCGGUAAUAC
rnacentral:rRNA from 1 species